rnacentral:rRNA from 1 species
GUUAAGUGACUAAGCGUACACGGUGGAUGCCUAGGCAAUCAGAGGCGAAGAAGGACGUGCUAAUCUGCGAAAAGCUUGGAUGAGUUGAUAAGAAGCGUUUAAUCCAAGAUAUCCGAAUGGGGAAACCCAGUAGAUGAAGAAUCUACUAUCAAUAGAUGAAUACAUAGUCUGUUGAGGCAAACCGGGAGAACUGAAACAUCUAAGUACCCCGAGGAAAAGAAAUCAACCGAGAUUUUGUCAGUAGCGGCGAGCGAAAGCGAAAGAGCCAGCAAGUGAUAGCAGCAAAGACAGAAGAAUUGGCUGGGAAGCCAAGCGACACAGGGUGAUAGCCCCGUAUUUUAAGUUUAUGUUGUGGUACUAAACUUGCAACAAGUAGGGCGGGACACGAGAAAUCCUGUUUGAAGAUGGGGGGACCAUCCUCCAAGGCUAAAUACUCCUGAUUGACCGAUAGUGAACCAGUACUGUGAAGGAAAGGCGAAAAGAACCCCAGUGAGGGGAGUGAAAUAGAACCUGAAACCGUGUACGUACAAGCAGUGGGAGCCCGAAAGGGUGACUGCGUACCUUUUGUAUAAUGGGUCAGCGACUUAUAUUUUGUAGCGAGGUUAACUGAAUAAGGGAGCCGAAGGGAAACCGAGUCUUAACUGGGCGGUGAGUUGCAAGGUAUAGACCCGAAACCCGGUGAUCUAGCCAUGGGCAGGUUGAAGGUUGGGUAACACUAACUGGAGGACCGAACCGACUAAUGUUGAAAAAUUAGCGGAUGACUUGUGGCUGGGGGUGAAAGGCCAAUCAAACCGGGAGAUAGCUGGUUCUCCCCGAAAUCUAUUUAGGUAGAGCCUUAUGUGAAUACCUUCGGGGGUAGAGCACUGUUUCGGCUAGGGGUCCAUCCCGGAUUACCAACCCGAUGCAAACUGCGAAUACCGAAGAGUAAUGCAUAGGAGACACAC